rnacentral:lncRNA from 1 species
ACCAAAUUGCCUGACGUGAGUUUUAGAUGCGGGAAUUGGAUUUGUUGAAUGAAGAUCUGACGGCGCGUUGGAUGAAGAACCCUCAAACUCCGAGGCAGAUAAUGAAGAUAUAAAGCGGAGAAGGUCACCAAUUCAAAAGGUGAUAAGCCAACACCAUUGACUGAAGAAGCCAACGCUAUUACGUCUUUAUAAGUUGAGGCUAAAUAAUGUUUGUGAAGAUGUUGCACAAUUAGG